AAAGAAUUAGAGGGCCCCUUUGUUGUCUGCACCGGCUACAGCUCAUAUAUGUUUUAAAGGCACAAAUCUGUGAGAUCAGCCUGACUCAGAGCCACUUCCCUGAAACAUCCAACAUAUCUGAUGCCUUCAAAGGCAAAUUGAGCAUUUGACUGUGGCCAAACUGGAGCGGGAUUACGAGCACGCGACACGGCUCCGCUGUGAAGACGAGGCGCUUCCAGGCAGCUGGUUUCGUUUUUCCGUUCACUCUCUCUUCCUCUCGCACUUUCCCUUUGUUCAAAGUGUUUCUUUUUUGAUUCAUCCUGAGUAAUGGUGUGAGAUUGUCCGGGCGGCUGAGGUUUCCUUUCAACUUCUCACACAGCUGGCAGUGUCCUGAGCAGGACACUGGAGCAGAUGCAGACAAAAAGCUGCAGGCCUCUGCGUGACACCUAUCUGUUCCAUCUGUUCUGCACAGUUGGGUCCAGGACGUAGGUGUACAAUGAGGAGUCGCGGUCCAAGUGCAGAGAGGAACACGAUGGAGGCUAAGGAGCAGGUUGCAGUGCAGCAUCUGAGGGAUUAUCAUGGCCAGCAUCCAGCAUCCAGCAGCCUGGACCUCAGCAACCUGCACACAGCGCUGUGACUGAGCAGUGAUGUGGGAAACAGUCCUUCCCUUGGUCCACCAGCACUUCUAGAGCCUGCUCUCAUCCCAUACGCCGCCAAUCACAUCAGAGACCCAGGCUUUGAUUGGCAGGUCUAAUUCUAUGGAGAGGGCGGGGCCUCGGCGUGUCACGCUGGGUUGUAUUAGGGAGGGCCGCUCUAAUAAGACCUACAGCAGGGAAAGUGCCUGCCCUCAAGGUCCAAUUUCCCCUGUGGCAUAAUAGUGGCAUUAAAGCAGAUGGAGAUAGAAUCGCACCUAUUGCAGGGUUUAUAAAUGAAAUGUUCGAGUUCAAGCUGGGUGGGAAUAGAAAUGAUUGAGUUCCGGGUUUCUUUUUUUUGUACGGGACCCAAAAAGUGGCCAUUAAAGAAAUGUUGAAGCAGUCAGACGCAACCGAAACCUUUAAAACUCCAACGUCCUCCAAGAACAAAAUAAAGAUGAAGGUAUGAUCCGACUCUAAUUUCUG
rnacentral:lncRNA from 1 species